ACGCGCACCCGACAUGCGGAGAACGCUCCUACUAUUCGAGCAUUACGUCUGAUCGGCGACUUGCUCACUCAGUGUGACAUUGAUUUAUUUGUGGACAAAUUUCAAACGAUUGUUAAUGACAUGCAUAUUAUGUUAGAUAGUACUUGAAUUAUAUAUUAAUAACAUUUUUAUUUAAUUUAAUUAUUGACUUAAAACUUUGGAAUUAUUUUAUUUGAUUAUUUGGCGCUAUGGACAUUAUUUGAUUUUAUAUAACUUGACAUUUUUUGUAUUAUUUUAUCAUUAUUUAUUUUAUCUUUAAUUUAAAAUCUAAUUUUAUUAUAUUAAUUGUAUUUUUGGGACUAGCUUGUAAAUGCUUUGGGUAAAACUGUAAGUUUACAGGUUUAUAUAAUAAAUAAAUUAACACCGAACCCUGUCGGAGGCCCUUCCAGACAGUUCGAGGUGGGAGGAGGGUUCCUUGAUGGCGGACGGAAAUAAAGCGACCCAUUAACAUAUUACAAAUGAUAUUGAUCACCCUAACAGAAAUACUCAACUGGUGCAUUUUCUGCCUGAGUAGAGGAAGGUGAACGUUGUCAUAUGCCGCUGAGACAUCUAGAAAGACCCCAACAACAUGCUCGCUUCAAGAUAUAGCUAAGAUGGCGAGUGGAGGUGUCGAAUGUCAAUAAGUCCAAUCGGCAAUCAAAUAUAUCAUACUACAAUGUUUUAAUAAAACUCUGCAGUAAAGUUCCAAGAAAUAGCUUUUCCGUACACGAGAUAUUUUAAGAGAAUUGGCGGCAGUUGGUAGCAAGAGAGAGUAGUGAAGAAUUUUACAAACAAAAUAAGUCUAGUAUAAUGUACCUCCCGGAUGAUUCAAAUAUUUAUUGCAACACCUGAAAAACGAAAACUAAAGACUGUCAAAACCCAAACUACUACACCACUCAAAAGAAAAGUAUAAAAAAAAAUAUUAGUUAUGUAUAUUGUUUUUUUUUUGAGAUAAUCUUUAAUACAUAUUCCUAGUUUAUACUUGGCUUAGGUAUUUUAAAAUUAACAAAGGGGUUGUCUUAAAAUUAGAUGAAAUGAAUAUUAAUGUAACUGUCUAUAUAAAGAAAUACAUAUUUGUAUAGUAUUGCCACCAUUUAUGUCACCAGAAUGUGUCCAAUUUAUUAU